rnacentral:lncRNA from 1 species
UUAGUCAUUUAUAGUGGUUCCACAUGACUAUAAUUACUUAAAUAUGUGGCAGUAUAGACAGCUCUCCUAUCUGCAGUUUAAAUGGAACUGGUGAAAUGCAAAGACAUUCAAGGAAAACCAGUGUAACCUGAUGCUAGCUAGCUGUGGCUUCCCUGUCCCUUAACUUUUUACAGUUUAGCCUAGAUCUUAGUACCAACUCAUAGCCCUCCCAAGGAUGUCUUCCUGGUUUUUCUUUUUGACUUUUGUCAUUCUCAUUUUUUCCUUCUGCAUCUGUAUGCUUGCAUCAUCAU